CCUACGGGAGGCAGCAGUGGGGAAUUUUGGACAAUGGGGGCAACCCUGAUCCAGCAAUGCCGCGUGAGUGAAGAAGGCCUUCGGGUUGUAAAGCUCUUUUGUCAGGGAAGAAACGGCUUGGGUUAAUACCUUGGGCUAAUGACGGUACCUGAAGAAUAAGCACCGGCUAAGCUAUCGUGCCAGCAGCCGCGGUAAU
rnacentral:rRNA from 1 species